UAAAAGUAAAUUGAUUAUGUGUAAAGUUUCUACAAAUAGCUUUAUCUAUACAAGUCAUAGACAAAGCCAAAUAACUCAUAGAGUGCGAAUGCGAUAGUUAUGACUACACAUGCUGUAGACUAUAACUACCUGUGGGUACAUUAUUUGGUAUCAUUCCCAAGAUCUUUAGCUAAUAGCAAAAUUAAAUUUGAUAAAAAUAUCUUUUUCUCUUUGGGUGAAGUGCUCGGUUUUGAGAUCAUGCUCCAUACAGGAUCUUGAGUCUCUAAUAAUCUCUUUCAAGAGCUGAGCAUUGUUUGUGUGUUGGCAUUCAAAGAUUCUAUUACAUCUCUCCUUCCACAUCCACCAAAUAGCGCAUCUGAAAGUAACCUUUGCCAGUUGUGUAAGAGGCCCUUUUCUUGAGAAACAUUGCAUAAGGUCGCCUAGUUCUUGGUGCAAGUUUGGUUGCGGCAGUCUAUUGAGUUCAAAUCGCUGGAGAAUCUCCUUCCAUAUCCAUUUUGUAUAAUCAUAAGCAAAAUAGAGGUGGUCAACAGUUUCUUCUUGUUGCAAACAAAGGGAGCAUCGGUUAACAUGAUAGAUACCUCUUCUUUUC
rnacentral:lncRNA from 1 species